AGAGUUUGAUCCUGGCUCAGGACGAACGCUGGCGGCGUGCCUAAUACAUGCAAGUCGAGCGGACCGGAUUGGGGCUUGCCUUGAUUCGGCCAGCGGCGGACGGGUGAGUAACACGUGGGCAACCUGCCCGCAAGACCGGGAUAACUCCGGGAAACCGGAGCUAAUACCGGAUAACACCGAAGACCGCAUGGUCUUCGGUUGAAAGGCGGCCUUUGGGCUGUCACUUGCGGAUGGGCCCGCGGCGCAUUAGCUAGUUGGUGAGGUAACGGCUCACCAAGGCGACGAUGCGUAGCCGGCCUGAGAGGGUGACCGGCCACACUGGGACUGAGACACGGCCCAGACUCCUACGGGAGGCAGCAGUAGGGAAUCUUCCGCAAUGGGCGAAAGCCUGACGGAGCGACGCCGCGUGAGCGAAGAAGGCCUUCGGGUCGUAAAGCUCUGUUGUGAGGGACGAAGGAGCGCCGUUCGAAGAGGGCGGCGCGGUGACGGUACCUCACGAGAAAGCCCCGGCUAACUACGUGCCAGCAGCCGCGGU
rnacentral:rRNA from 1 species